ensembl:lncRNA
GGCGAAGCUCUCGAUUUACCAGUCAAUCUACGUUCCUACUCUCACCUAUGGUCAUGAGCUUUGAGUCAUGACCGAAAGGACAAGAUCCCGGAUACAGGCGACCGAAAUGAGCUUUCUCCGCUUGGUCACCCGGGAGGAGCUCAGAGUACAGCCGCUGCUCCUCCACAUCGAGAGGGGUCAGCUGAGGUGGCUUGGGCAUCUGUUUCGGAUGCCUCCGGAACGCCUUCCUGGGAAGGUGUUCCGGUCCCGUCCCACCGGAAGGAGACCCCGGGGAAGACCUAGGACACGCUGGAGGGACUAUGUCUCCCGGCUGGCCUGGGAAUACUUUUUUCCCACACUAUAUAUAAUACGUAUAAGCCUAGAUAAAUUACUCAAGGUUUGAGAUAAGUUACUCUAGGUUUGAGGGGAGAAAAUGUAAAAUAUGAAGAAAGGGCACCCUGGGCCGGUGAAGAGAACAUUUCAUGGAAAGGUACUGUAGAAUGGGAAAUAUAACUGGCACUAAAAUAGAUUCCUGAAAAUAGACUAAACAUUUUCAGGACUAAAAUGGCAUUUGUUGACUAAAAGUAGGAUAAAACUAAGAAUCCUCAAAAUCACUAAAAAUUUACUCAAAUGAAAGUGCAUGUUUGGUUAUGAAUAAAUCUAAAAUAUCUGCCAAAAUUAAUUGGAAGGGUAAUAAAAAAUGUGGGGUGAACUCAAUGCUAUAUUUUAGUCCUAGAAUGUUAUAUUUCUCUGAACUUAAAAAUAUCAGGACAGCUUCAAUAAACCUAGACAUAGAAUCUACAAGUGUUUUGAACUGUUGGAGGCAUGAGCCAUAAUUUUUCGUCAGGACAUUCUGGUGUUUUUUUUUUUUAUUGUUGUGCAAAACGAUUUCUUUGGCGCAAUUCAAGUAUCUUACAAGUGCUUAACUGGGUUGAGAUCUAGUCUAUAUAGAUGGAGAUGGCUAUGGCAUAUCAUUUGCACUGAACUGAUAUCACUUUUCUUAACACUAUAGCCAAAAUAGUAAACAACUGUGCCAGCCAGGCACUUUAAAACACAACCCUAAGCAUGACGGAAUGGUAACUGCAGAUUUUAGUGACUCAAUUGUUUCUGUAUGUUGAGGGUUACCUAUAUAACAAAUUAGAUCGUUACACAAAGAUGAAAUAGCGUUUUAAUGUAAACCUCAACACAUAAUGUAGCGUAAUGACUUACUAAUAUUCCCAUGGUGCUGACUCAUUGUUUUUGUCCAUUUCGAGUUGGAUUAUGUCUUCUUAUAUGCUCUGAAAAUACCCAGAAAACCAUAAGCAUGGAACCUAUAGGGGGUAAACAAAAUAUGACCUUUACCAAAAGCCACAUGCAAAUAAUAUGGCUUAUCUUUGUUUAUCUCUGCCAUCAUGCCUUAGAUUAGAUAUGUCACACACACAGUAUACAUAGUUAUGUAAAAUCAUUGUUGUUUUUAAUCACACCCAUCGAUAACAUUAGAAGGAUUAUAUGAAAAACUACAAUUUCAGUUCAUGUGUUUAUGAAGAGCAAUUGGUUUGAUUUACAAGGAUGACAACUCUUGCCUUGCCUUGCCUGCUGCUGGUAAAUAAAAUUAUAAUGCUAUAUAUAUACUCACACACAGACACACAAACACACGCACACACAGUCAUGGCACAGGAGAAGCUAAUAUCAAGGGAUAAAGAGUUUAGUGAGCAGAAUGGCUGUCUGGUGCCUUCCAGGUUGGUCUUUUUUUAAGGGGCUUUGCCCAAAACACCUCCCACAUGUGCCAUCUUCUAGACAGCUAUAAUAAACCUGCAUGAGACCAAACCCUGGCAUGGAGAGCAUAUCCACCACCACCUGAGAUGCUGCUUUUUUAAGCUAGCUCAUACUGUGCUGUAUCCAACCCAGCUUCAUGCUGUCUGUGGGCAUUUAGCUAUGCGAAUGUCAAAUGCACUACGCUGUUUUAAAAUGUUUUCUUAAGAAAAUAGGAACAUUUUGUCCAGCUUAUCAGAUAUUACUCAGUAAUUGCAUAAUGAUGUACAUCUGCGCCAGGCUGCAGUUACCGUGAGGUGUGGACUUUGUUUGAGAUACUGUGAAAUGUAGUUAAUAAAUAAUUUUCUUCUCGAAAAUGGGUUUCCUCCUGGGACAAUGAGGUAUAAAUAUCUUCACUAAACAUCUGACAAGGGAUGCUACAUGGUCAUUUGUAGUUUCUAUACGCUCAAUUAAAAUGCCAAAAGACAAGGCAUUGAACAGAAUGUUGACAUUAUUUUAAAUUAGGACAAUUAUUUUUGUCUAAUCACAUCUUUGGGCAUCUUUUUCGGAUGCCUCCGGAACGCCUUCCUGGGAAGGUGUUCCGGUCCUGUCCCACUGGGAGGAGACCCCGGGGAAGACCUAGGACACGCUGGAGGGACUAUGUCUCCCGGCUGGCCUGGGAACGGCUCGGAAGAGCUAGAGGAAGUGUCUGGGGAGAGGGAAGUCUGGGCAUCCCUGCUUAGACUGCUGCCCUCGCGACCCGGCCCCGGAUAAGCGGAAGAAGAUGGUAUGGUAUGGCACACAACAUCCUUGUACAAAACUACUGGGAUUGGAAUCUACAGCGUUCUGGUUACAAGUUACAGUUUUCUGCAAUACAUUCAAUAGAUUAACACCAAUGUUUAGGUGUAAGUUAAAUACAUUCACCUGGUUAAACUGUUUUGCACAGACAUGCAGUUCCAUUACUUUAUGUUUCCAGUAAAAACAUUUACAACCGUGAAUUCACUCAAUACAUUCCACUGCCCUCUCAUACCUUUUUCAGCAGCAAAGAAAACAUGUAAAAUGUCACUAUGAAGCAGUCCAAGAAAAUGGGCCGGUGAAAAAAUAAAUAGUUCACAGAUCACUACUGUACCUCAUAAAAAAUAUGACUGUCUUGAGAGUUGUAAUAUGAACAACUGUACAGUAUAUACGUGUUCUCAUUGUGUGUGUAUGCGCUGGUACGUGCGUCUGUUCACAGUCCCCGGGGCCAACUCUGAAGGUCUUAGCAUGGGCGGUAAAAAUGUGAAGCCAGCUUAAGGACAACGCCUUCACAAUUCAUUCAUCCCUGAAAAUGGGGUCGGCUCUUUUCUGAAAGCUAGUUCGUGACCACUGAUGCCUGUACAAACUUUGGAGGACAUGAGGUCUUGGCCCACACCUCCGGAGUACCUGAAUCGAAAGACUCGUUGCUGUCCCUAUGAAAAAGUAAUCCUGAUUGUGUUGCAGAUCAAGAUGAUACCUGAUGAUUCCAGCAGCCACUCCGCUGACAAUUCCCCCUGGGUUUGUCCCUGUUCUUGUCUGUCUGGUCCUGCUUCUGACCUGGAUUAGGUUUUAUAGACUCCGGACACAGCCCACAUUCAUUUAUUAAUUAUUGCAAUCUGUAAUCUUAAAAUGUUCACCCGGCAGAGCCAGAAGAGGAUGGCUCCCCCCUCCAAGCCUGGUUCCUCUCUAGGUUUCUUCCUAAAUAUUGGCUCCUUUUAGCAAGUUUUUCCUAGCCACUGUGCUUUAACGCCAAUGUUUCUUGCUCAUUGUGGUUUCAGGCUGGGUGUUUUCUAAAAGCACUUUGAUGUUUUUUUUUUUAAACUGCUGAUGUAAAAAGGGCUUUAUAAAUAAAUUUGAUUGAGUUAACCAUAAUUGCUCGCAGGUCAUUGCUGUAAAUUAAAAUGUGUUCUUAGUCAACUUAAAAUAAAUGUAAUAGCUAUUUCUCUAUUUGAGAAAUCACAAUGAAU